GACGAACGCUGGCGGCGUGCUUAACACAUGCAAGUCGAACGGAAAGGCCCUGCUUUUGUGGGGUGCUCGAGUGGCGAACGGGUGAGUAACACGUGAGUAACCUGCCCUUGACUUUGGGAUAACUUCAGGAAACUGGGGCUAAUACCGGAUAGGAGCUCCUGCUGCAUGGGGGGGGUUGGAAAGUUUCGGCGGUUGGGGAUGGACCCGCGGCUUAUCAGCUUGUUGGGGGGGUAGUGGCUUACCAAGGCUUUGACGGGUACCCGGCCGGAGAGGGUGACCGGCAAAUGGGGACUGAGGUACGGCCCCGGCCCCCACGGGGGGGCGGAGGGGGGAAUAGUGCCAAAGGGGCGGAAGCCUGAUGCCGCCACGCCGGGUGCGGGGUGGCGGCCUUGGGGUUGGAAACCGCUUUCCCCUGGGACGAAGGGUGGGGGAAGGGAAAGGGAAAAGAAGCCCCGGCUAAACACG
rnacentral:rRNA from 1 species